GCACUUGUAACAUUGUGGUAAAGACCUUUCCCAAAUCUUCAUUUACGAAGACUGGCCAUGAUGAUGGUGAUGAGAUUCUACUCCUCCCAAGGGCUGUGGAACAUCACAGAGAGAACCCUCUCCUUUCUUCCUCUGCCCUCUGCUGAGGCCUCCUGUUUUGACCAAAUUUGUGCUACCAUCACUAUGUAGAUGACCACAACUACUUGUACAGAGGCCAUGAGUCAGUAGAAAAGUGAGUUCCUAUCUACAGGAAUACACUUCAUCAGUGAUGUGCUUUGGUGAACAGAGACUAAAACUGGACCUAGAAUCUCUGCUUUAAGCUGCCAUUGCCGGUGGACACACCAAGAGCUAGUGCAAAACACCUGAAUUAGAGAAAGUUAAGUGGCUGCACCGUGACAGGUGACAUGAAUUUAUAAUGGAA